rnacentral:ribozyme from 1 species
AGGAAAGUACUACACACGUCAUUGCUGGCGAGAAAACUAAUAGCGAGGAGAAGGGUGAGUGCCCAACGCGGUCAAACUCGCAGGCGGGAAGCUCGCAUUCUAGUCGGGCAGCGGAUGUAAUGGAAGAGAAGGCCAA